AUUAGUGAAGUGUUAUUCGAAAUUUAAUGCAGAAAUAUCUAUGGAUCCCUAUCAUUUUUUUCUAGUUUAGUUUUGUUCUUCAUACAGAAAAUGUGAAAAACUUUAAAUGUGGAAAAAAAGGCAUUGCAGCUGUAGCGAGCCAGGAGUGGUAAAAGAAAUGGUUUUUCAUCCAGCAAAAAUACUUGUUGUGAUCCUAACCUAUGAAACUUUUCUAUUUCAUAGAACAAGAAGUGAAUCUAGAUGAGUUUGUACAAAAUGAUCUGAAAAGCAGAAAUGGCUACUUUGGGUUGUGUCACAAGAAUGAAAACCCAGAAUAACAACCUGGAAGUCAUGUGUGCUGCUCCUGGAAUGCCUUCCCCCUACCCCAGAGGACCAGCUGUCAGUUUGAGCAUGAUUUCAGGGCCCAGAAUAUGACGCACAUGUGAGUAAGUGUAAUAAAUCUAUUUUAGUUAGAUAGGUUUAUAUUCUUGUGUGAGAACGGUCAGCCC
ensembl:lncRNA